rnacentral:rRNA from 1 species
GAUGAACGCUGGCGGCGUGCCUAAUACAUGCAAGUCGAACGCUGAAGGAGGAGCUUGCUCUUCUGGAUGAGUUGCGAACGGGUGAGUAACGCGUAGGUAACCUGCCUGGUAGCGGGGGAUAACUAUUGGAAACGAUAGCUAAUACCGCAUGACAACAGUUAUUGCAUGAUAACUGUUUAAAAGGGGCAACUGCUCCACUACCAGAUGGACCUGCGUUGUAUUAGCUAGUUGGUGAGGUAACGGCUCACCAAGGCGACGAUACAUAGCCGACCUGAGAGGGUGAUCGGCCACACUGGGACUGAGACACGGCCCAGACUCCUACGGGAGGCAGCAGUAGGGAAUCUUCGGCAAUGGACGGAAGUCUGACCGAGCAACGCCGCGGGAGUGAAGAAGGUUUUCGGAUCGUAAAGCUCUGUUGUAAGAGAAGAACGAGUGUGAGAGUGGAAAGUUCACACUGUGACGGUAUCUUACCAGAAAGGGACGGCUAACUACGUG